UGCAAGUGAUGUGAGUUAAUAUUUGCUAUCUGAGCACCAGUGCUGACACAUCCCACCAAGAUCGCUGAUGCA